GUGGUGGCUGCUGUUGAUCAGCGCCUCCACCGCGUCCUCGGGGCUGAAGCCCAGCGCCUCCGGGUUGAGCUGCUGCGGGUAGCCCGUCAUCCAGUAGUAGUCUUCCAGGGCCCAAGCAGAUGAGUAAACGGUUCAUGCCAAGCCUCAGCUGGGCAAGCUGCUGUUAGAUCACGGAGGCGACAGUUUCUGAGGGUCUGUCCUUUCACUUCCCAGGAGCACCCUUCCUGAGGGAGGAUUCUUCUGUUUGCAUAGAAACUUCAUUCUGUCUCUUUGCCAGAAACCCGACAUGAAUUCCUGUGAUGCCUGUUUGCAGCAAAGGUGCUGCAAAGCUGCAGCCACCGUAAAAGAGUAGGGCUGCUACAAGAUUUCCUCAUGGGGAAAAAAAGAAGUUCAGUUUCAGGCUUCUUGUGGCUUCUCUGAAAGAUAACUAAACUUUACGUACAUCACUAUCUGGAACUUGAUCUUGGGGUCAGAAGUACAAGCAUGUAAAGAUCCUGCAUAAGUAGGAAUGACUUGUAACCCCUCUCUCUAUCCUUCCUGUCACCUACUUUUAACAAUACCCAGGUUUGGAGACAGUCAUCCUCCUCCUUUAGACUCAAAUGGCAGCUGGCAGAGUUUGAAGCAUGGUUUCCAGUAAGGAGCAUUAGCUUCUUCAUAAUUUAAAACAUAAAAAAUGUGGUUCAAGCCUACCAUGAUUUAAUUUCCUGAAGAGCAUUUCUGUACACCCAAGCUGGGCAUCUAAAAGCCAAGCCCCACUGACAUUGCUACCCAGACUGAAAGCCUGGUGACUAGAACUUAGCAGCUAACUAUCUUUUGUUAGUUAGCAGAUGACUAUUUAUUGAUGCUACACAAGAACUUUGCCUCAGCUGAGGCCAAAUAAAAGCAGAGAAAGUU